rnacentral:rRNA from 1 species
AUUGAACGCUGGCGGCAGGCCUAACACAUGCAAGUCGAACGAGUGGCGGACGGGUGAGUAAUGUCUGGGAACCUGCCCGAUGGAGGGGGAUAACUACUCGAAACGGUAGCUAAUACCGCAUACCAUCGGAUGUGCCGAGAUGGGAUUAGCUAGUAGGUGGGGUAAUGGCUCACCUAGGCAACGAUCCAUAGCUGGUCUGAGAGGAUGACCAGCCACACUGGAACUGAGAAACGGUCCAGACUCCUACGGGAGGCAGCAGUGGGGAAUAUUGCACAAUGGGCGCAAGCCUGAUGCAGCCAUGCCGCGUGUAUGAAGAAGGCCUUCGGGUUGUAAAGUACUUUCAGCGAGGAGGCGUUACUCGCAGAAGAAGCACCGGCUAACUCCGUGCCAGCCGCCGCGGUAAUUC